GUGCACACGGCGACACAAAUGGCGUUCCAAUUGUCACAAAUGUCGACACACCUCUACACAUUCGUACUCAGCCUGAGGGCUACUAGUCGGCUGUGUAAACUUGUGUAUUCUAGUGACAAAUAAUAGUUACUAAGUACGGCGGCUACAAGUGGUCGGCAUAUUCCUUCGCUACGACGGUUUACUAUAUAAAAGGGAAAAAAAGAAGUGAGGUUACGUCUGAUAUCAUUCUGGCGCAUAAGUAAUACCGAAGUGGGAGGAGGAAAAUACGCAAGUACGGCACACAUUUUUUUUCUUUUUACUCAACAAUGAACAACGGCAAUAUUCAGAGUAUCAUUGAGGUAAUAAAUAUUUUGAAUCAACAUUAGGUGACGCAGUUUCAAUCAUCACCAUGGAUUAAAAAUACCAAGCAUAGAUAGUAUACUACUUUGUGUACUCUUUGUGGUAUAUUUUUGUUCCAAUUGAGUCGUGCACAUCGCGACACUUUGUGUCUUCUUGUGUACGUUUGUGUUAAAAAGUGUAAAAUAAUUGGAAAGCA